CGCGAGCUGGGUUCAGAACGUCGUGAGACAGUUGGGUCCCUAUCCGUCGUGGGCGUAGGAAAUUUGAGAGGAGCUGUCCUUAUUACGAGAGGACCGGGAUGGACAUACCUCUGGUGUACCAGUUGUCGUGCCAACGGCAUAGCUGGGUAGCUAUGUGUGGACGGGAUAAGUGCUGAAAGCAUCUAAGCAUGAAGCCCCCCUCAAGAUGAGAUUUCCCAACUUCGGUUAUAAGAUCCCUCAAAGAUGAUGAGGUUAAUAGGUUCGAGGUGGAAGCAUGGUGACAUGUGGAGCUGACGAAUACUAAUCGAUCGAAGACUUAAUCAAAA
rnacentral:rRNA from 1 species